CCUUGAUGCUAGGGAAUUUGGACUUCAUUAUCUAGGCAAGAAUAGGAGUGGGAAGGAGAGGCAUCUAGUAACAGCUUUAACACGUGAAAGCUAGAUAUCAAAGAGCUCCCUGAUAUUCUUGUUGAGUGGAGGUUUUGAAUCUAUGGUUCAAAGGCUACUUGAUGUCUCCUUGGUCUCUGGGUGGUCUGUGGACUCCCCUCUUAUAAUAUUGAUUGGGACAGGACUCUACCUUCAUGGCUGUCAUGUGAACUAAUGAUUGACAAUGGCCCUUAUCAAAAUCAGUUCCAUUUUCCUCAUUCCUUGUAAUAAAGUUUACCCUCUCUACAUCUGUUCCCACCGCCUGCCCCAGCAGUAGUGGGAGGUGAUUCCUGAGUGUUGUUAUAUUGGAGUGGCCCCAAGAAGUUCUAGAACUACUGCUCCAGAAGACCUCAGCCAUGGAGAUAAUGUCACACCUGAUUGUCUUGAAUGGCUUUAUCCAGGUUAGCCAGUCUUCUGAGCCCUAGGUCAAACCUCCCAGCCACCUCCCAGCUGGGAUGAUUACAAAUGGACUCACCCUUAGUCUAAAAAGAAAUCCUAAAAACAAAUGAACAAAUGGACUCGGUCCACGGACACCUAGCCAAGACUGUCUCUGAGAAGAAUGACAUGCCUUCAGCAUGAAGUAGCUACAAGAAAAGGACAUGUAAUUAAGGAGGAAAAAAAAAAUCAGAAACUGGAGCCAUUAAAGAGACUGUGAUAUGAGGAAAACAUUGUACAGGAGAUGUGACCGAAGAUCUCAGAUCUGAGAACUGAAAGGGAAUGAAACUAGUUAAAAUUCCACUGCUCAUUCGCUCCACGGGAGAAAUAACAUUCCUGUGCGAUGCCACUUGCCACUUCAUUUUUAG
rnacentral:lncRNA from 1 species